rnacentral:rRNA from 1 species
GUAGGGAAUAUUGGGCAAUGGGCGAAAGCCUGACCCAGCGACGCCGCGUGCGCGAUGAAGGCCUUCGGGUUGUAAAGCGCUUUUGGAGGGGAUGAGGAAGGACAGUACCCUCCGAAUAAGCCUCGGCUAACUACGUGCCAGCAGCCGCGGUAAAACGUAGGAGGCGAGCGUUAUCCGGAUUUACUGGGCGUAAAGCGCGUGUAGGCGGUCCGGCAAGUUGGAUGUGAAAUCUCCCGGCUCAACCGGGAGAGGUCGUUCAAUACUGCUGGACUAGAGAGCAGUAGAGGGGGGUGGAAUUCCGGGUGUAGCGGUGAAAUGCGUAGAUAUCCGGAGGAACACCAGUGGCGAAGGCGGCCCCCUGGACUGUCUCUGACGCUCAGACGCGAAAGCUAGGGGAGCAAACGGGAUUAGAAACCCUAGUAGUCC